ACAGUUGGGUUUACUUAUCUGAAUAGGCCUGAUCUUGCCCAGUUUUGAAAACUAUGCAGGUUUGGACCUGGUUAGUACGUGGAUGGGUGACAAUAAGAGAAUACCGGCUCGGUUUCUU
rnacentral:rRNA from 1 species